UCAGCUCUACAGAGUUUUCCAAGGACCCAGGUUUUUUUCUCUCUUGCUGUUGGGCUCUUCUCUAGCUGUUGCCAACCUCUAUGCAGAAGCAUGAAUACCACAUCAGCAUCCCAGCCUGUGGAAGGGGGAAAGAAGAAAUGAAGGGAAAGCAACUUUCUUUUAGGUAGGGACCAGAAUCAGCAGGGUGAAGGGAAGAGGAAGGAAGCCACAGACAUUGCCCCACCACCCAGAGAUUCCCCACUCCACGUGGAAUCUGCCCAAGAAUGGGAGAAGAAUCUCUGGAAUGAAUAGGAGGCGCAGUGGAAGGGAGUUGGCAGGUAUGUAGGCUUGAGCAUGCCAGCUCUGAAGGCCCAUGGACUGAAGCACUUAUUCCCAACUGCAAGUGCUGGCCCUCACCAAUCUACUCUGGUCCGGCAGGUAAGUUGGUUGUCAUCAUUGUUGUCAUUAUCAUCAUCAUCUGAAAGUUGUAGAAUGUAUUUUCCUUUUUGAAAUCCUGUAACAUAUUAUCCCUGACCCACCUUUCCCACCUCAUCUUCCACUGCUACCUUCCGUACACCUUCAGUUCAGCCAGAUUAGAUAUCACCUAUCUUCUCAAAUUGCAGUUCAAGCCUCCACUUCUUUCCUGACUCCAGACUGCCUAC